rnacentral:rRNA from 1 species
CCCUUAGAUGUUCUGGGCUGCACGCGUGCUACAAUGGCGCUUGCAACAAGUCUUGCCAACCCGAUAGGGUGAGCGGAUCUUUGAAGAGGCGUCGUGAUCGGGACAGUUGAUUGCAAUUAUUCGACUCGAACGAGGAAUUCCUUGUAAUCGCGAUUCAUCAUAUCGCGCUGAAUACGUCCCUGCCCUUUGUACACACCGCCCGUCGCUCCUACCGAUUGAGCGAUCCGGUGAAUGUUUGGACUGGCGUCAGAAGCGGUUCGCUCCUGACACUACGAAAUUUUGUAAACCUUAUCGCUUGGAGGAAGGAAAAGUCGUAACA